AACGAACGCUGGCGGCAUGCCUAACACAUGCAAGUCGAACGAGACCUUCGGGUCUAGUGGCGCACGGGUGCGUAACGCGUGGGAACCUUCCCUUAGGUUCGGAAUAACUCCCCGAAAGGGGUGCUAAUACCGGAUAAUGUCUUCGGACCAAAGAUUUAUCGCCUUUGGAUGUGCCCGCGUUGGAUUAGCUAGUUGGUAGGGUAAAAGCCUACCAAGGCGACGAUCCAUAGAUGGUCUGAGAGGAUGAUCAGCCACACUGGGACUGAGACACGGCCCAGACUCCUACGGGAGGCAGCAGUGGGGAAUAUUGGAACAUGGGCGAAAGCCUGAUCCAGCAAUGACGCGUGAGUGAUGAAGGCCUUAGGGUUGUAAAGCUCUUUUAACCGGGAUGAUAAUGACAGUACCGGGAGAAUAAGCUCCGGCUAACUACGUG
rnacentral:rRNA from 1 species